ensembl:snRNA U7 U7 small nuclear RNA
AAGUGUCACAGCUCUUUUAGAAUUUCUCUAGCAGGUUUUCCGGUUUUCACUGGAGCCCCU